rnacentral:tRNA from 1 species
ACUAAAGUAGUUUUACUAAAACAUCAGCCUGUGGCACUGAAAACGCCAGUUAAACUCUGGCCUUAAGUC